rnacentral:lncRNA from 1 species
GCUCCCUUCCUGUACUGGACCUGCCCCCCACCCCCCAGGGGCUCAUCUUUGUGGAAGUUGAUGGGGACGAAUUCUGUCUGGGGCAAGCUGAUGUUGACCAGCACAUUGGGGGUGUUCCUGCACCUUUCUUAAAGGACUGGGUGACCAGGACCCCUAGGGCCCCUUGCACCAGCUCCUGGCCUGCAUCUCCCUGGCCAGUCUCCAUCCUUGGGGUCCUGGUGUUUCUGCACAAGGUUAUCAGCCUCUGGGGUCCUGACUGUUCUCUCCUCUCCACAGGGAGUCAGGCUGCUUGUGGCAAGAGGCCCUGGCUUAAUCUUCACAGGUGGAAGAGACCUGAGGGCUCAUCUCACCUAACCCCAAAUUUUCUAGACAACGUUCUGCUUGAGUUUCAGGAGGUGGAUCUGGAGCCAGCAGCCCUCCUGUGAGAACACUGGCCUGAGCCCCUCAAGCCGCCCCUCGUCUCUGAAUGGGGGUCAUUUUGGCCCUUGGUGGGCAGCUUCUUGGGAGAUGGUUUGGAAAUGGAGACAUACAUGGAAAUGCACCGCACAGAUCACACUGAUGUGGACACGCCCACCUCCUGCCAGCUGCUCGUGGUCAUGAUGUGGAUGAGGAGCUGAGUCACGAUGUGGACGAGGAGCUGAGUCGCGAUGUGGACGAGGAGCUGAGUCGCGAUGUGGACGAGGAGCUGAGUCCCGAUGUGGACGAGGAGCUGAGUCGCGAUGUGGAUGAGGAGCUGAGUCUUCUUUUACCCCUUUAAAGGGGGAAUGUGGGUUUCAGGAACACGUCAGCUUGGAGUCAUUUCUGUGUCUGAAUCUGCUUCAUACACACGUCUCCAAAUACUUAAAAUGAUUGAAAAAACCUUUGAAUAAAAGCUUGGGAAUUUCAUCUUG